ensembl:snoRNA LOC120099056 small nucleolar RNA SNORD83
GCCACAUGAUGUUUGCAAUUGGGAAGUGAGCGCUCUGCGCGCGGUGCUGACCCUUAUCUAUCACCCUUGACUGAUGGCU